UCACUCACGUUCCCAUAGUGCUCCUCUCUGCAAGCCUCACCCUACAUUUCCUGCCACCUUCUGUUCAUUGCUUCCCUUCUCUGGACAGGAAGCCCAGAGUUUCUGCUCCACUUCUGGCCUCUGAGGAUAGAGGGACACGGAGGACAUCCGGGGAGGGAAGGCGCUGCCUCCAGUAACAUCCUUGCACGUUAAUCCCGCCCGCUUCUCUGCUGAGCUGGGCUGACGAAGCAUCUUGUGUGUGCAGAGUGUUCUUCUGACAGUUGAUGAACAGGCCUGUGCAGGGGAAGGGAAGGGCAGCUCCUGCUCCUUGCUGUUGGUGAGCUGAGCUGUGGGUGCACAGGUGUCAUGUGAAUGGUGCAAACCGACCCUCGGCAGGAGCUCAGAGAGCUGACUGAUGAAGUUAAAGACUGCAGCCCUCUUUGCCCAGGUCUGCUCCAAGGGUGCCGAUUCAUCUGAAUUAGAGCCAGGAAAGGAUGCGGCCAAAUUGCCUCUUUUAAAGCUAAAUAAAUGAAAAUGUAAAGAAGCUUGGUGACACAAGCCCAGCGGGCCAGAGAAAGGCCAGCACCUGCAGGAACAGACUUCCCUGGGAAGAAGAGCCACAGCUCAUGGAGGAAGCAGAGCCCAAGCAGCUCUUCCCAGCCCUGUCACAGGGCCUCAUGGGAGAAUCAUCAGACCCAGGCCUCAGGGGAUCCAAGUGGCAGAAACCCUCUCCGCCAAGUAAGCAGCGAAACCUUCCAACCCCAAAAUGCAAGCCUCUCUUGGCCCAGUAGAUCACUUGCUAUAAGGGCUCUCAGCGCUGGGGUCUCAGGCUAAAACGGCGUCCUCAGUUGAGACAAGUCCACGUAUUUGGUUAUACCCAGGACAUCUGUCAGGACCCGGGUGGCCUUCAGGGCCUGCAGCCUAUUUCAAGGUCAAGACCAUCUCCUGAAUUGAUCAGUCAACCAGCUGCAGUCCUUCCUGGCCAUUAGCAUCCUCCCUUACUUGCUUUUCCCUCACCAUCUCUGUUUAAGCAAAUUUACAAAAGAAAAACACAGGAAAUGCUAAGCUGUGUACAUUCAUUCACCCAGAAACUGUUUUGCCAAUAAACAAC